GUCUAGGUCCUAUGCAAAACGCACUUUCGAACUCCGCCAGGUCCGGAAGGAAGCAACGGUAGAUAGAUGUUGUUUGUGCCGUAGACCACCUAGGCUCU
rnacentral:SRP_RNA from 1 species